UAACCCCAGUCGAGCGGCGGACGGGUGAGUAACGCGUGGAUGAUCUACCUUUUGGUGGGGGAUAACCCGGGGAAACUCGAGCUAAUACCGCAUAAGAUCGCAAGAUGAAAGGGGCGCAAGUCCCGCCGGAAGAGGAGUCCGCGUCCGAUUAGCUAGUUGGUAGGGUAAUGGCCUACCAAGGCGACGAUCGGUAGCCGGCCUGAGAGGGUGAUCGGCCACACUGGAACUGAGACACGGUCCAG
rnacentral:rRNA from 1 species